rnacentral:rRNA from 1 species
UACGUAGGCAGCGAGCGUUGUUCGGAGUUACUGGGCGUAAAGAGUGCGUAGGCGGUUUUCUAAGUUUGGUGUGAAAUCUCCCGGCUUAACUGGGAGGGUGCGCCGAAAACUGGAAGGCUUGAGUAUGGGAGAGGUAAGCGGAAUUCCUGGUGUAGCGGUGAAAUGCGUAGAUAUCAGGAGGAACACCGGUGGCGAAGGCGGGUCUCUGGGCCGUAACUGACGCUGAGGAGCGAAAGCGUGGGGAGCGAACAGG